GGAUGAUCUUCUGUUUUAGUAUUUGUCCAGUAGGUUUCCCCAAGGAGAAAGCCCCC
ensembl:snRNA U7 U7 small nuclear RNA